rnacentral:rRNA from 1 species
UACAGAGGGCGCGAGCGUUGUCCGGAAUCAUUGGGCGUAAAGCGCGUGUAGGCGGUCCGGUAAGUCGGCUGUGAAAGUCCAGGGCUCAACCCUGGGAUGCCGGUCGAUACUGCCGGACUAGAGUUCGGAAGAGGCGAGUGGAAUUCCCGGUGUAGCGGUGAAAUGCGCAGAUAUCGGGAGGAGCACCAAUGGCGAAGGCAGCUCGCUGGGACGUUACUGACGCUGAGACGCGAAAGCGUGGGGAGCAAACAGG